rnacentral:sRNA from 1 species
CCGGAAAGAUGGUGGUUACUAGAUCUGCACGGGCUAAGGCCAGCAUCCAAGCCGCGUCGGCUGAAAGUUCCGGGCAAAAGGUAUUUCUAGAAUUGUGCUUCCCACAGAAAAAACGACAGGAGCAAGAAGUAAGGCUAAAUCUCUGACAGAUCCAAGCCAAGAAUCUCAUACAGAAGCUAUAUCUGAUGCUGAGACAUCAAGCUCAGACAUUUCAUUCUCUGGAAUUGCAACUAGAAAAACCAGGAGUAUGCAGAGGAAAUUAAAGGCACAAACUGAAAAGAAAGAUAGUAAGAUUGUACCAGGAAAUGAGAAACAGAUCGUGGGUACACCUGUGAAUUCAGAGGAUUCAGAUACCAGACAAACUUCCCAUUUACAAGCAAGAUCUCUUUCUGAGAUAAAUAAGCCAAAUUUCUAUAAUAAUGACUUUGAUGAUGAUUUCUCCCACAGAAGUUCAGAAAAUAUAUUAACAGUGCACGAACAGGCCAGUGUUGAAUCUCUUAAAGAAACAAAACAGAAUUGUAAGGAUUUGGAUGAAGAUGCCAGUGGAAUAACAGAUGAGGGGAAAGAAAUUAAUGAGAAAAGUUCUCAGCUGAAGAAUCUUUCUGAACUUCAGGACACUAGCCUUCAACAGUUAGUUUCUCAGAGACAUUCAACCCCCCAAAAUAAAAAUGCUGUAUCAGUGCACUCUAAUCUGAACUCUGAGGCUGUAAUGAAAUCAUUAAGUCAAACAUUUGCAACUGUGGAAGUAGGCAGAUGGAAUAACAAGAAAAAGAGCCCCAUAAAAGCAAGUGACUUGACAAAGUUUGGU